rnacentral:lncRNA from 1 species
AAAUGGUUGCCAGCGGCCAGCCGAGCAGCGCCAAUCGUUACAAAAGCGGCGGAGCCUAUUCUGAUCGACAAAGUGCUGAAUUAAUUAUUUUCUGCUCACUGGAUCCUGCCGUGGAUUGCAGGCAUUGCAAUGCUAGAAAGUUUAACAACUUCGAAGCUCUCUUGUGCUGAAAGCUCGACCGUGAGAGCUCCAUUAGAAACAUGGUAAAUUGUUAAAUUUGCCACAAAUCAUUAGAUUAUUUUUCCAAUGCCUAAUGCCUGGCGGUGUCCUUUGAGUAUCAGUGCACACCAACUGAAGAUGAUUUUUACAUUGAUAUUAUGCUUUCAAUUUUUCAUCCCGCACAUUUCUGCUCGUCACCUCCCCCUGUGGUUGGAGCAGAUGCGCAUGCUUAGAAGCCAAUCGGAGAAUCGAGAACGCUUUGGGCGAUUCAGUGUUGGCAACGAGACUCAGACCAGCUAUGGAAACAUUGUGCCCAAAGUUCCCAUGGACACGAUCAAACAGGAAUACAUGAGUGACCAUGAAGAACAAUCUCCCAAUGAAUCACACUUCUCGAGUUUUCAUCCCUUCGCACUCAUGUCAAACCACGGGAAAAUGCUGCUAAAUCAUUCACCUAAACAACAUGCUAGUCCCUUUAAAAUGCUUCAACGCUCUAUGAAUAUGACAAGUAACCAUUCUUCUGCGCAGCUUAUAGACUUUCUUGCAAAACAAGUGCAGCUCCUAAACUUGCGAACAGAUCUUGAACAUGCAAAAUUGCAGUCAAGAUCAAACGAGUCGGCUGAAGAUACUGUGACCUCCAACCCAAAACCAAGAGUUACUGAGAAGGAUCCAAACUCCCCCAAUGAGAAAAGGAUUCUGAGACAUAAGGAAGGACACGCAUCCGAAGUCGCUGUCAUCGUCUGCAUGUUUGUCGUCAUGGUGGCAUUCUCGUACGGAAUUUACUACUGGAAGAAGCGGAAGGACAGCUCGAGACAGACAAGAUCGUUCCUUGACAGGACUUCCAACAACAAUCAGUCGAGUGAAAACGCGUAACUUGAGAUAUCUUGUCUAUAGGAUAGAUGCACUGACUGCAAGGUCGUUCGCGUACAUUGAUUGUGCAUAAUGCACAAUGUGCAUCAAUUAAUCUUGCAUAAAUACUUAUUUGGUCGGAUGGUGAAGUCGUGACAGCAUGAUUGGCAUCGACUUGCCAGCUGACAUGUUGUGUUAUGGCUUAUCAGUGGUAAUUACAGUGCCAGCUUCCUUCCUUCAUGACUUGUUGCUUCAGCAAUGCAAUUAGUUUGGGCUUGCAGUCAUAGUCAGUCAUUUGUAGUGUGUGCUUCUUUUCUUUUUCGAUCGGCGAUUUUCGCCGAUGCAAUGACGACUUUGGUGUCAUUUGGUUGAUGCGCCGAAAUACACCUGCUGAAAGGUC